UUAAGAAUCUUGCUCAAUGGACGAAAGUCUGACGCAGCGACGCCGCGUGCAGGAAUAAGGUCCUGUGGAUUGUAAACUGCUUUUAUUUGGGAAUAAACCUCCUUACGUGUAGGGAGCUGAAGGUACCAAAGGAAUAAGCACCGGCUAACUCCGUGCCAGCAGCCGCGGUAAUACGGAGGGUGCAAGCGUUAUCCGGAAUCAUUGGGUUUAAAGGGUCCGCAGGCGGGCUAAUAAGUCAGAGGUGAAAUCCCACAGCUUAACUGUGGAACUGCCUUUGAAACUGUUAGUCUUGAGUAAAUUAGAGGUAGCUGGAAUAAGUAGUGUAGCGGUGAAAUGCAUAGAUAUUACCCAGAACCCCGAUUGCGAAGGCAGGCUACUACGCCGUGAUUGACACUGAGGCACGAGAGCGGGGGUAGCGAACA
rnacentral:rRNA from 1 species